rnacentral:rRNA from 1 species
ACGAGUUAAGUAUAAACCCCUUUACAAGUAUCAAUUGGAGGGCAAGUCUGGUGCCAGCAGCCGCGGUAAUUCCAGCUCCAAUAGCGUAUAUUAAAGUUGUUGCAGUUAAAAAGCUCGUAGUUGGAUUUCUGUUAAUAAUUUAUAUAAUAUUUUAACGAUAUUAUAUAAUAUUAACAUAAUUCAUAUUACUAUUUGAAUAGUAUAUGAAAUUUUACUUUGAGAAAAUUAGAGUGCUUAAAGCAGGCAUUUGCCUUGAAUACUCCAGCAUGGAAUAAUAUAAAAGAUUUUUAUCUUUUUUAUUGGUUCUAAGAUAAAAAUAAUGAUUAAUAGGGACAGUUGGGGGCAUUUGUAUUUAACAGUCAGAGGUGAAAUUCUUAGAUUUGUUAAAGACAAACUAAUGCGAAAGCAUUUGCCAAGGAUGUUUUCAUUAAUCAAGAACGAAAGUUAGGGGAUCGAAGACGAUCAGAUACCGUCGUAGU